CUAAGUUUAAGCACCUAAACGGCGAAACUGCGAAUGGCUCAUUAAAUCAGUUAUCGUAUAUUUGAUAGUACCUACUACAUGGAUAACCGUGGUAAUUCUAGAGCUAAUACAUGCUUAAAACCCCGACUUCGGAAGGGGUGUAUUUAUUAGAUUAAAAACCAAUGCCCUUCGGGGCUCACUGGUGAUUCAUAAUAACUUCUCGAAUCGCAUGGCCUUGUGCCGGCGAUGGUUCAUUCAAAUUUCUGCCCUAUCAACUUUCGACGGCUGGGUCUUGGCCAGCCGUGGUUACAACGGGUAACGGAGGGUUAGGGCUUGACCCCGGAGAAGGAGCCUGAGAAACGGCUACUACAUCCAAGGAAGGCAGCAGGCGCGCAAAUUACCCAAUCCCGACUCGGGGAGGUAGUGACAAUAAAUACUGAUACAGGGCUCUUUUGGGUCUUGUAAUUGGAAUGAGUACAAUUUAAAUCCCUUAACGAGGAACAAUUGGAGGGCAAGUCUGGUGCCAGCAGCCGCGGUAAUUCCAGCUCCAAUAGCGUAUAUUAAAGUUGUUGCAGUUAAAAAGCUCGUAGUUGAACCUUGGGCCUGGCUGGCCGGUCUGCCUCACCGCAUGCACUGGUCCGGCCGGGCCUUUCCCUCUGGGGAGCCGCAUGCCCUUCACUGGGUGUGUCGGGGAACCAGGACUUUUACUGUGAAAAAAUUAGAGUGUUCAAAGCAGGCAUAUGCUCGAAUACAUUAGCAUGGAAUAAUAGAAUAGGACGUCGCGGUUCUAUUUUGUUGGUUUCUAGGACCGCCGUAAUGAUUAAUAGGGACAGUCGGGGGCAUCAGUAUUCAAUCGUCAGAGGUGAAAUUCUUGGAUCGAUUGAAGACUAACUACUGCGAAAGCAUUUGCCAAGGAUGUUUUCAUUAAUCAGGAACGAAAGUUAGGGGAUCGAAAACGAUCAGAUACCGUUGUAGUCUUAACCAUAAACUAUGCCGACUAGGGAUCGGGCGGUGUUAUUUCUUGACCCGCUCGGCACCUUACACGAAAGUAAAGUUUUUGGGUUCUGGGGGGAGUAUGGUCGCAAGGCUGAAACUUAAAGGU
rnacentral:rRNA from 1 species